AGGACGAACGCUUGCGACGUGCCUAAGAAAUGCAAGUCGAACGGGGUAGCAAUACCUAGUGGCGAACGGUCGCGUAACACGUGGGCAACCUGCCCUGAAGCGGGGGACAACAACUCGAAAGAGUUGCUAAUACCGCAUGUGUAUCGGAAUGGCAUCAUUCAGGAUACAAAGCCGCAAGGCACUUCAGGAUGGGCCCGCGGCCUAUCAGCUUGUUGGUGAGGUAACGGCUCACCAAGGCUUCGACGGGUAGCUGGUCUGAGAGGACGAUCAGCCGGAUUGGGACUGAGAUACGGCCCAGACUCCUACGGGGGCAGCAAUUAGGAAUCUUGCACAAUGGGCGAAAGCCUGAUGCAGCGACGUCGCGUGAAGGAUGAAAUCUUUCGGGAUGUAAACUUCUUUUACCAGGGAAGAAAAAAUGACGGUACCUGGUGAAUAAGCCCGGCUAACUACGCGCCAGCAGCCGC
rnacentral:rRNA from 1 species